AUUUGUUUGUUUGACUCCUGGUAGCUCAGCCUGGUAGAGCAGUGACCUCCAAAGCCAUUUGUCGCAAGUUCAAAUCUUGCCCGGGAGGCCAAACAAAAUUUUCCGAAAUUGUUGAGGACAACAAUUUCGGAUCCUCAAUGAAAUUCAUAAGCGGUAGGAGAGCGUUCUGUUCUGCAAUGAAGCUGAAGGGAUAACCCACAGUGGAGCGUACAGAAGUGAGAAUGUUGGCACGAGUAACCGCAAUCAGGGUGAGAUUCCCUGACGCCGAAAAUCCAAGGUUUCCUUGGCGAUGAUAAUCAGCCAAGGGUUAGUCGGUCCUAAGGUGAUCCCGAAAGGGGGAAUCGAUGGACACAUGGUUAAUAUUCCAUGACUUUAUUAUUGUGUGAUGGGGUGACGGAGUGUUGUACUUUAAGCGCAUUAUCGGAUUUGCGUCCGUGCUUUGAGGGUGCCUCUUAGGUAAAUCCGGGGGGCCUUGCCCGAGAUGAGCGGAAAUCUAGCGGCUUCGGCCAAAGGAAAUUUAAAGGAGCACGCUUCCAAGAAAAACCUCUAAGCUUAGCAAUAGUAAAACCGUACCAAAACCGACACAGGUGGAUAGGUCGAGUAGACCAAGGCGAACGAGUGAAAGGUCCUCAAGGAACUCGGCAAAACAGCGGCCGUACCUUCGGAAUAAGGCCUGCCCCCACCACUUUGUACAUUUCAGAGUGGUGGAGAGUAAACUUGAGAAAAGAUAAAGAAAAAGAGAUAAAGAGCUCUCUAUCAUUUUGGCGAAGUGUCCAAAGUGGUGGGGGCCGCAGCGAAAGAUCCCUGGCGACUGUUUAUCAAAAACACAGCUCCCUGCGAACUCGUAAGAGGAUGUAUAGGGGGUGACGCCUGACCAAUGCCAGAAGGUUAAGCACGGACGGUGUGAUGUUCUUCGGAAUGUCAUGCUUGGCUGUGUAAGCCCUGGUGAAUGUCGGCCGUAACUAUAAAUCGUUGUAGUUACGUUAAUAAAUCUUGCUAUAUGCGGGAAACUCUGACCGGAGUGUCAUACCUUAGUGAACUCUCCAAGGUAUCCGGUGCUACUCACCACAAAGUCGUAAGUGGAAGUAACAAUGUAUCGGUGCAGACAAUCCGCAGGAAAGAUUAUUGUGUGGUAAUUACGGAAAUAUGCGUGAUUACAAAUCAAUUAACCAGAACCAUGGUUACUACAUAGCUGGUUUCGUUGACGGAGAGGGUAGUUUCAAUGUCUCUCUCACAAAACGAAAAGAUUAUGUAGGAAAAUGGAAGAUAACUGCGUCGUUUAAUGUGUCACAAAAAGAUCGCACCAUACUUGCUUUUGUUAAAAAAGUGAUUGGGUGCGGGACACUUAGAGAGCGCAAAGAUGGUGUAGUGUACUAUGAAGUCACAAACAUCAGAUCCCUAUACGAAAACAUACUCCCGUUUUUCAGGAAGUUCUGUUUUCUGUCAGAAAAUAAGAAACGCAACUUUGCUAUCUUUUCAAAGAUAGUAAGAAAGAUGUAUAAAAAAGAACAUCUUAACAAAGAAGGAUUUGAAGAAAUUCUUCAACUGCGCGAGAAGCUCAAUCAAGGGGUUGGGCGUACGCGCAAAUACACAUUAAAGAGUGUAAAACACACACAAUAAAAUCCUCACAGACUAUACGCAGGACACGCGCUAGAACAACACUGUCGACUUUCUAGCAUUCGUGAAGAUAUAGUCGGGCCCUUAUGGCGACAUAAGGUUGGCAAAACGCUUAAUUGUUUGCCAUAUAAAACAUAAGCAAACGGUCCUAAGGUACACUUCACGACAUUUGUCGUUGGGUGUAGGACUAGGACCGUUAUAUAGAUAAACAGAGACGCAAGUUACCUUCCAUAUAGAAAUAUAUGUGUAGUCCAAAUCACGAUUAACAAGAGACCAACGUCGUGGCCCUCCCUCCUUGAUAUAAAGGAGAAGGGAUAAGAUAGAGUCCAUGGAGUGUUAGUAGGAAUACAUGAGCGAAAUUCCUUGUCUGGUAAUUUCAGACGUGCACGAAUGGCGUAACGACUGGGGAACUGUCUCGAGGACUUGCUCGGUGAAAAUGCGAUGCCGGUGAAGAUGCCGGCUACCUACAGUGGGACGAAAAGACCCCGGGAGCUUUACUACAACUUGAUAUUGGGUAUGUGAGUGAGCUGCGUAGCAUAGGAGGGAGACUUUGAAGCACUUUUUUCGGAAGGUGUGGAGUCGUCAGUGAAAUACCUCUCUGUUUAUUUGCAUGCUCUAACUUGUACGGAAAAAACGGACAGGAACAGUAUCUGGUGGGUAGUUUGAGUGGGGCGCUCUCCUCCUAAAGAGUAACGGAGGAGUCUAUUAAGGUUCUCUAGGCGCGAAUGGAAACCGUGCCGAUAGUGUAAUGGCAAAAGAGAGCUUGACUGCGAGACGGACAUGUCGAGCAGGUGCGAAAGCAGAGCAUAGUGAACCGAUGGUUCAUAUUAGAUGUGGCCAAAGAUUAACGGAUAGAAGUUACCCCGGGGAUAACAGGCUG
rnacentral:tRNA from 1 species